CCUACUCCAACCCAACCCCACACACAGCCCCCACACGCUUUACAUAGGAUUCCAAAGCUUACAAAGAAUAUAAUAGAAAACAUAAAAGAAACCAUCAUCAAAGAUACAACAUAACCAGGAACCUUCAUCAAAAAAACCAUAAACAUCUAAUUCAAGAAAAAUAUAACAAUUUUACCUCUUCUGAAACAAGAUCCGCCAUUUUCAUACAACCCUCCUUCAAAAUCCACUCCUAAUAAGGAUGAAUAGCAAAUCGCGGCGAAUUGGGAAAAAAUUUCUUGGUUUGCUUGCUUGCUACAGGAAACCCUUAAUUUUUUAUUUUUGACAUUUUUUUAGAAUUUUCACCAAUUCAGUUUUGGAUUGAAAAUAGGAGUUUUGAAAUUCAAAUGGGACGGUGUGGAGCAAACUCUGACAAACGAUAAUGAACAGUUAAUAAAACGGCUGUUAACUCCCCUAACUACCGUUUAUAAACGGCCGUCAACGUACUACUUUCCUUUCUCCUUUAUUUUUUUCGAUUUAAAAGCCAACACGCUACCUGUCACCAUUUCUUUCUAAUUUUACCCCCGGAUUAACGUUGAUGGUUAAUCUUAAAGAUUAAUUAGGGGGGCCUCGGGCCUUUUUGCUUCAUUGAAAGUGUUAUUUUAUUGAAGAUUGUAAUUGUUGUGUUGCUAAUUAUCAAAUAUGAUGCAGUUACUGAAGUCAAAGAAGUAUUGUGGUGUGUUUAAGAAAAUAUGGCACCACUCUGAUGGUGGAAGUUGGGUGAGGCCUUGCAAUUUUGAUAUUAGAUUCAUGAUGCUUGCCUUCUUUUUUUCUUGAUUGGUUGAAUUUAAUGAUUUGGCCCUAAGAUUUUUUAUCCACAUAGGUGUGUUUUGAUAGCAUGAUGUCUGGGUGCAUGUUGAGUGUGUUGAAACCGCCUGAGAGUUUUUUAUUUUAUUUUAAUCUAAGUACUUGGAAGAGGCUGGGUAUUACUGCCCUAAUUGCAAGCCAAAGUUUGCAUUUGAGCCAUCAUACUCAAUAGUUAUACCUAAAGUAAAGUAUGUGUUCACUGCUCUGAUUGUUGUUGGUAUUAUUGUUGCCAUCAUGCUUGAUGACAAAUUUUAAUAAAUAAUACCAACAACAAUUGCAGUGAACCCGUACUUUACUCUGGUUGUUGUUGUUGGUAUUAUUGUGUCAUCAUGCUCAUGUUUUCUGUUUUGUCUGGUCUUCCUGUUUUCUACAAUCAACUCAACCAUAAACUCUUUUAUGACGAAAUACAUCUCAUGUAUUUUAGUUAAGAGUAAAAGAAACUAAACAAAUUAGGAAUGGCAUUUCCUACAGGAUGUAUGCGGCACACCAGUUCCUAGAUCCAUUUGUUGUUUGUUAAAGUUUUUAGUAGUUGGUUGUAUGAUUAGUCUUUGGUCUUCAAGAUAUAUAGCUCAAUUUCUUCUUCUUUUGCUACUUUUCAUUAACGAUCAGAACCCCAAAACUCCAUAAAGCAUAUCACUUAGCUUAAUUUCUAUGUUAGGUUGCUAAAGGAAGAUUCAUUGAACUUGAUGGUGUGGUUCUUCUUUUAUUUGUUACUUGAUUUUAUAACUGUAGGUUCUCUUAAUAGGAUAUUAGGAGAGCCAAAGUAUGGGUUAGGAAGUUUGUAAAAGGGGUUUUAUCACUUGCAAUUCUCUGGGCGGAUGUCAAUUGUCUGGAUGGAUGCCUUUGACCCUAUGUUGAUCGCUAAUUGUGUGCUGCAGAACCCUACUCGGUUUUUAUGAAUUGGUGUCACUCGUGUUUUCCUUGUCAGUGCAGCAUUUAUCAGACCUGAUGGGUGACUUGCUAUGCUCUAUGUGUUUUCUUUUCGGAUAGUAUGUGUCUAUAUAGUUGCUCAUGUAUGUCUUGCUGCUAAUUGUUGUUUAUUCUCUAUGGAUAUCAGAUAAGCUUCUGCUUAUCCAGUCCUCACCUGUAGCAUGGAGAAGUAAACGGUUGAGAAUUACUCAACUCUUGUCACACACCAGUUCUCACAGGCCGCUGCAGGCAAAGAUUAAAGGCCAAUACUUGAGUUACAAAGAGAUUCAAAUGAGAGGAUUUUUUGCUUUCAGAAAUUAGAAGGUUCUUGCUGCUAAUCAAAACUUGUUAGAAAAUACCAUAUGAUGUGGAAGUUUGGCUCCAACUAAAGCUUCUUGCAUUAGAAACACUUGUGUUUCCUCGAGGAGAAGAGUGGGAAGUUGUGCUUAGAGUACUUGCGAGACUUGUCCAUAGACGAAAUAAAGUCCGAGCUCUCAUCUUUCAAAGGAAUCGGGCCUAGAGGAUGAACUUGACCACGAAAAAAAUGAGCAUCCUAAUGGCUCUUCUGUAGUUGAAGUUUUUGAUAUCUGCCCUCCAAAAUCAGGUUCUGUGUUCUCUUUGAAACCAUCUUUGAUGGCGAUGAAUAGGGAAAAGCGAAAUGAGAAGAAAAAUUAUCAAGGGAUUAUUUUAAGAUCUGGGAUGGUUCAUCUGAAGAGCUAUUUUUCGACCUCACAACAGGUGCCUAUAUUUUCGGGAUUUCAUUUUUAAAUGCAUCCAUCCGGAAUAUUAGUACCUGCCUGUAACACCCUAAUAAUUCCUUGCUUUUAUAAAACCAUUUUCCAACUUAAAAUAAAGGAAUUACUAAAGUAUUACCGCCACCGUGAUAAUGGUUAAGGCUAUUACCAGAAUUACGCAGCGGAAUUAAAUGUCAACUAACUUUU